rnacentral:rRNA from 1 species
GACGAACGCUGGCGGCGUGCUUAACACAUGCAAGUCGAACGGAAAGGCCCUGCUUUUGUGGGGUGCUCGAGUGGCGAACGGGUGAGUAACACGUGAGUAACCUGCCCUUGACUUUGGGAUAACUUCAGGAAACUGGGGCUAAUACCGGAUAGGAGCUCCUGCUGCAUGGUGGGGGUUGGAAAGUUUCGGCGGUUGGGGAUGGACUCGCGGCUUAUCAGCUUGUUGGUGGGGUAGUGGCUUACCAAGGCUUUGACGGGUAGCCGGCCUGAGAGGGUGACCGGCCAAAUUGGGACUGAGAUACGGCCCAGACUCAUACGAAAGGCAGCAGUGGGGAAUGUUGCACAAUGGGCGGAAGCCUGAUGCAGCAACGCCGCGAGCGGGAUGACGGACUUCUGGUUGUAAACCGCUGUCGCUUGAGAAGAAGGGUGAGUGACGGUAAUGGGUAGAGAAGCACCGGCUAACUACGUG